rnacentral:rRNA from 1 species
GAUGAACGCUGGCGGCGUGCCUAAUACAUGCAAGUCGAGCGAACAGACGAGGAGCUUGCUCCUCUGACGUUAGCGGCGGACGGGUGAGUAACACGUGGAUAACCUACCUAUAAGACUGGGAUAAUUUCGGGAAACCGGAGCUAAUACCGGAUAACAUGUUGAACCGCAUGGUUCAACAGUGAAAGACGGUCUUGCUGUCACUUAUAGAUGGAUCCGCGCCGCAUUAGCUAGUUGGUAAGGUAACGGCUUACCAAGGCAACGAUGCGUAGCCGACCUGAGAGGGUGAUCGGCCACACUGGAACUGAGACACGGUCCAGACUCCUACGGGAGGCAGCAGUAGGGAAUCUUCCGCAAUGGGCGAAAGCCUGACGGAGCAACGCCGCGUGAGUGAAGAAGGUCUUCGGAUCGUAAAACUCUGUUAUUAGGGAAGAACAAAUGUGUAAGUAACUAUGCACGUCUUGACGGUACCUAAUCAGAAAGCCACGGCUAACUACGUG